ensembl:lncRNA
CAUUCAGGAAGCGGCUGAGGCUUGGGUCAGGCAGGCCUGGGGAAUCUUGAGAGGCAAAAAAUUAGUCCAGUCUGGUCAGUUUUAAAAUUAUGAAGAGUAAUUUUGAAGCUUUUCAGGAUCCAAGAAUUAGUGCUUUUGUGAAGGAGCAAGAAGGCAGCAUGAGAACUUCUGUUACCACUAAUUGAAAGUAGUUUAUCACUUUAUCUUUCAAAAGUUUAAUGUCAGAACUUCAAGGAGAGGAUAAAUCGUCCAAUCUGGGCCUGAGCCUGGCCUUCCCACCCUCCCGGAGUUUUGAUGUCUGAGAAGAAUCCUAGCGGAUGUGGAUUUACAUGUUAGUACCUGAAAGCGGGUGCAGCCCCCACCCUGGAAUGAGUGUACACUUCCAAAGGAUUCAUUUCCAGAGGGUGGUGGAAGGAACCACAGAGACAGCUAUGUGCCCACACGCUCAGCCAUCUGCUGUUCCAACCACACGUCUCUCCCCCUGUUUCCUGCAAAUGAUUCAUCUAUUCUUUUUCUCCUUCUUCAAAGUUAACUUCUUCAAAGACAACUGUGUAGGCUUUUAAGGAGGGGAAAGUCAUUAAGAAAAGUGGAAUCUGGAGUUCUUAGGAUGAGGUAGAGCGGAUGAAACAGUCUGGAAUUUCACAAAGCAAAGGGUGCAGGUGUGGACUCCGGGCUCUCCUCUCUCCUCCUGGUGCACCAUUUCACGACAGGUUCUCAUCAUCCAUCAGGAACAUGUCCACAAAAAUGGCUGCACGUGAACUACGAGCGCAUGAGUUGCUAAAGAGCAGAAGAGGAGAGGACGGAAGUCGGGAGGAGGAUUCUCGAUUUUCCAGCUGAGAAUGCUGCUCAUCUUACCCGCUGUCCUACACAGCUUCUGUCUCUAAUUUUAUACCAACGAAUGGGAUCUUUGUGACUUUUUCUAAUAAGCAGACCAAAAAGCUGCCACCAAAGUCAGGCUUUCAAGGAUGCCCUAACCAAGCACCUGAGAAUGUGAUUAUGGCUGUGCCUCUGACACCAAGGGUAUUGUGGCAACAUGCUGCAUGGGAAGGGGAUGAGCAUGCCCAAGAGGAGGUAUUCCUUAGUUUUUUGUUGAAUUUCUUCAAAUUGGAGGCAGAUGGGCCUUAUUUCAAAUCCUGGCUCUGCUUCCAGCUUCUGGGACAUUAGGUGAGUUGAUAAAACUCUGGGAAUCUCAGGUACAUUGUGGGAUGAGGUCACCUACCUCACCGAGUAGAGUGAGGACUGAAGAGGAUACUGUAUGCAAAGUACUUGGUGUGGUCCCUGGAACAAAGCAGAUACGCAAGUAUCAGGUGAAUAGGAACAUUCUUUAUCAUUUCACUUCCAUUUCUGCCACAUCCUGCGCCCUAAGGCUAGCCAGGUAAAGAACUCAAAGGAGAAUGGGGGUUCUGGCCUAUUCUAGUAUGGUCUUGCCCAUCAGGAGAGGAAGGGACCUGGCAAUAGGCUGCAUGGGACAGACUGUCCCUGUUAAUGCAAGACACAGGGGAGAAGGAGGGAGGCAGAGAGACAAGUAGAGCCUGUUGACACCUUCUUCCCACACCCUCAACAGCCACGACAUCCCCUGUAGCAAGUGGAGGCCCAAGUCAUGAGGGGUCCCAUUGCUGGGUAGAAUAUACAGAUCCCAGAUCAGAUUGAGCUCUUAAAGACUCUAGCAUGAUGCCUCCAUUUCUCAUCUGUAAAAUGGGUGUUAUGAUAGAACUUACAUCUUGGGUUGUUGUGAAGAUGAAAUAAGAUCUUCUCUGUAAAGGACUGAGCAGAGGGCCCAGGACAGUCAGCAAGCAGUACAUAAAUGUUAGCUGCUGUUAUUAUUUUGUUUUCAUUUCAAUAUAUGGAAUUGUUAACAGUUACUUCAUUCAUUAACCUGUUUAUUGAUUGAUCAAUUUUCAUUUAAUAAACACUGUUCACUCAGUCACUUCAUUCAUUUAUUUAUCAUCAAAUAUUUAUUGAAAUCUUAUGCUGUGCUGGAAUUAUGCUGGGCUCAGGAAAUGCCGAGAAGCAUUGGACGAGAAGCUUGAAGGCCAGUCGGGGAGAGAGAUGAGUAAAGAAAAACAGGACAGGAGAGAGCACAGUAAGUGUCCUAAUAGAGAGGGGUAGAAAGUGCUCCUGGAACCCAGAGGAGCCAGGAACGGCUUCACAGAGAAGACGUUUCUUGAACUGGAUCCUGAAGGAUGAGCAACCUGGGGAGUUUGGGCUUGGGGAUUUCAGGUAACAAAAGCAGCUUGCAAAAAACUUACGGUUUUAAGAUAAGUCAUGG